UCGGUUGAUCCUGCCGGAGGCUACCGCUAUUGGAGUUCGAUUAAGCCAUGCGAGUCCAGAGCUUUCGGAGCUCGGCGUACCGCUCAGUAACACGUGGGUAACCUAACCUAUGCAGGGGAAUAACCUCGGGAAACUGAGAAUAAUGCCCCAUAGUCCACUACGCCUGGAACGGUGAGUGGAUGAAAGCUCCGGCGGCAUAGGAUGGGCCUGCGGCGUAUCAGGUUGUAGGGGGUGUAACGUACCCUCUAGCCCUCUACGCGUACGGGUGUUGAGAGACAUCGCCCGGAGAUGGAUUCUGAGACACGAAUCCAGACCCUACGGGGUGCAGCAGGCGCGAAAACUUGGCAAUGCGAGAAAUCGUGACCAGGGAACUCCAAGUGCAUCGGGUAAGACCGAUGCUUUUCUAGACUCUAAAAAGGUCUUGGAAUAAGAGGUGGGUAAGGACGGUGCCAGCCGCCGCGGUAAUACCGGCGCCUCAAGUGGUAGUCGCUUUUAUUGGGCCUAAAACGUCCGUAGCCGGUCUGAUACAUUCGUGGGUAAAUCAACCAGCUUAACUGGUUGAAUUCUGCGAGGACGGUCAGACUUGGGACCGGGAGAGGUGUGGGGUACGCUCAGGGUAGGGGUAAAAUCCUGUCAUCCUGAGCGGACCACCUGUUGCGAAGGCGCCACACUAGAACGGAUCCGACGGUCAGGGACGAAGCCUAGGGGCACGAACCGGAUUAGAUACCCGGGUAGUCCUAGGUGUAAACGCUGUGGACUUGAUGUUGGGGGUGCUCCGAGCACUCUCAGUGUCGAAGCGAAGGUGAUAAGUCCACUGCCUGGGAAGUACGGUCGCAAGGCUGAAACUUAAAGGAAUUGGCGGGGGAGCACCGCAACCUGAGGAUUGUGCGGUUUAAUUGGAGUCAACGCCGG
rnacentral:rRNA from 1 species